UAUUUUAAUACAUAGAAAAAAAGAUUUCUUUGGAUUUAAUAAAUUUUAUUGUAGCCAAAUAAACUUGUUAUUUGGAAUGGUCUAAAC